rnacentral:rRNA from 1 species
GACGAACGCUGGCGGCGUGCCUAAUACAUGCAAGUCGAGCGGAUGACGGAGGAGCUUGCUCCUCCUGAUUCAGCGGCGGACGGGUGAGUAACACGUGGGCAACCUGCCCUGUAGAUUGGGAUAACUCCGGGAAACCGGGGCUAAUACCGAAUAAUCCUUCGGACCUCAUGGUCCGAUGUUGAAAGACGGCAUCUCGCUGUCACUACAGGAUGGGCCCGCGGCGCAUUAGCUAGUUGGUGAGGUGACGGCUCACCAAGGCCACGAUGCGUAGCCGACCUGGGAGGGUGAUCGGCCACACUGGGACUGAGACACGGCGCAGACUCCUACGGGAGGCAGCAGUAGGGAAUCUUCCACAAUGGACGAAAGUCUGAUGGAGCAACGCCGCGUGAGUGAAGAAGGUUCUCGGAUCGUAAAACUCUGUUGUGAGGGAAGAACAAGUACCGGAGUAACUGCCGGUGCCUUGACGGUACCUCAUUAGAAAGCCACGGCUAACUACGUGCCAGCCGCCGCCGUAAGAC